rnacentral:misc_RNA from 1 species
AUGUGUGCAAAGUAGUGUGGAUGGGCCGAUUUGCAAUAGUAAAUUACGUUGGCCUCAUAGAAAGAAACUGCCAAUGGAUAAGGAUUUUUGAGCCCAUAGGUAUUCAAGAGAGCUUCCAACAUAGAUCGCUACUGGAUUCUAGUUAUGUGAUACAAAAUUAUUUCAACCACAUGAUCAUGCCUAUUAGUUUCGGCCUUUCUAAUUACUCCUCUUCUAUAUGUACAUAAAUAUUACACAAGGGCAUAAUAGCUGUGAAUGAGAGUUAUGAAGCCUGAGUGAUUGUUUUGUUUUAGGCUGCUUCAGCAAAUCCAA